AUGGGCCAAGGCCGCAGCCUACCAUGCAGUCGAGCGGUAACAGAGAGUAGCUUGCUACUUUGCUGACGAGCGGCGGACGGGUGAGUAAUGCUUGGGAACAUGCCUUGAGGUGGGGGACAACAGUUGGAAACGACUGCUAAUACCGCAUAAUGUCUACGGACCAAAGGGGGCUUCGGCUCUCGCCUUUAGAUUGGCCCAAGUGGGAUUAGCUAGUUGGUGAGGUAAUGGCUCACCAAGGCGACGAUCCCUAGCUGGUUUGAGAGGAUGAUCAGCCACACUGGGACUGAGACACGGCCCAGACUCCUACGGGAGGCAGCAGUGGGGAAUAUUGCACAAUGGGCGCAAGCCUGAUGCAGCCAUGCCGCGUGUGUGAAGAAGGCCUUCGGGUUGUAAAGCACUUUCAGUCAGGAGGAAAGGUUAGUAGUUAAUACCUGCUAGCUGUGACGUUACUGACAGAAGAAGCACCGGCUAACUCCGUGCCAGCAGCCGCGGUAAUACGGAGGGUGCGAGCGUUAAUCGGAAUUACUGGGCGUAAAGCGUACGCAGGCGGUUUGUUAAGCGAGAUGUGAAAGCCCCGGGCUCAACCUGGGAACUGCAUUUCGAACUGGCAAACUAGAGUGUGAUAGAGGGUGGUAGAAUUUCAGGUGUAGCGGUGAAAUGCGUAGAGAUCUGAAGGAAUACCGAUGGCGAAGGCAGCCACCUGGGUCAACACUGACGCUCAUGUACGAAAGCGUGGGGAGCAAACGGGAUUAGAUACCCCGGUAGUCCACGCCGUAAACGAUGUCUACUAGAAGCUCGGAGCCUCGGUUCUGUUUUUCAAAGCUAACGCAUUAAGUAGACCGCCUGGGGAGUACGGCCGCAAGGUUAAAACUCAAAUGAAUUGACGGGGGCCCGCACAAGCGGUGGAGCAUGUGGUUUAAUUCGAUGCAACGCGAAGAACCUUACCUACACUUGACAUACAGAGAACUUACCAGAGAUGGUUUGGU
rnacentral:rRNA from 1 species